rnacentral:rRNA from 1 species
ACGGGAGGCAGCAGUGGGGAAUAUUGCACAAUGGGGGAAACCCUGAUGCAGCGACGCCGCGUGAGUGAAGAAGUAUUUCGGUAUGUAAAGCUCUAUCAGCAAGGAAGAAAAUGACGGUACUUGACUAAGAAGCCCCGGCUAACUACGUGCCAGCAGCCGCGGUAAUACGUAGGGGGCAAGCGUUAUCCGGAUUUACUGGGUGUAAAGGGAGCGUAGACGGUAAGGCAAGUCUGAAGUGAAAUGCAGGGGCUCAACCCCUGAACUGCUUUGGAAACUGUCAAACUAGAGUGCAGGAGAGGUAAGUGGAAUUCCUAGUGUAGCGGUGAAAUGCGUAGAUAUUAGGAAGAACACCAGUGGCGAAGGCGAUCUACUGGACAGUAACUGACGCUGAGGCGCGAAAGCGUGGGGAGCAAACAGGAUUAGAUACCCUGGUA